rnacentral:lncRNA from 1 species
AGGUGAGCAAGUAAAUUACCUAGCCAAAGACUGCUUCGCCACAGCAAGAAAUCAUCUCGUAUUGCAAGAGGUCCGGAAGCAGGCUUGAUUAUUUCAGUAGUACAAUAUUGUCAAGGAUCCAAGUGCUUGCCAUCUUUCUGUUGCCCUCAGGAUGUGGGAAAGCUCACUCCUCCUGGUAUCAAGAUGGCUACAGUGGUUCUAGGAGUUAAUGCAGACAAGAUUUAAGAUACUUAACAGCAGAAUAGGUUAUUUCCCUCCACAUGCCUCCUUAUUUAGGAGGAAAAAUCCUUCAAGGCCCACUUCUUAUGCCGUCUGCUUAUAUCUCAUUGGCUAGUUUAGCCUGUGUUUACACUAACGUCUGGUAAGAAGAAUGGACUUACCAUGAUUGGCUUAGGUUAACUAACAUUCAUCACCUGGGAGUCUGCACACAUACGUGGAGAAUGAACAUAUGAACAAAGUCAGGCUUCUGCCAGCAAAGAAGGCAGGUAAGAAAGAUGGAGAGCUGGGCAGUCAAGGGUACCUGCCACAGGACGGGAUCUUUGUAAAACAACCCUAGAUCUAUCCCAAGAUGCUCAGAGAAUAAAUGUGAAAGGUAGAGAUCAACAGAGAAACAGAAAUGGAGCAAAUCCUCCGGUUGGGAUGUGGGUUGGUGGUGGUGGAAUAUGGUCAAUUGCAUAGUUCUUCUUUGAUUUAAUGCAAAUGUCAUCUAUUGCUUCCACAACAGGUUGAGUAAUUCAUUCCCACAUGUGGAUAACUUGCUCUCAAGGCAAUAUGCACAAUACAUUUAGCCUCUCUGCUCUGAGAAAAAGAACGAACCAGUAUCGCCACAUUUGGCUGCCAAUUGUAAGCUGUCUUUAUGGGAAACCAGACUGGCCUGUACAGCAUUCAUCGGUUGGCCAGCUAAGAGAAAUCCUGCCAGCAGCUCAUGAGUCACCAGAAGGGUGGUGAACAGGUGAGUGAAGACCAGAAUUUUUCACUUCUUGGUUCUACUUACUGGUGUAGCGUUGAGACAAUAUGACUGCCUCCUUCAGCCUCAGUCUGCAAGAGAGUGGCUGUGAGAGCUAAGCCACCACCAGGCUGAGUCUUAUCGCUUCAUUUUCAUUGAUGAUUCUCACACCUUAGUCUGCCGAAGCACCUUCUUGGGAAAAUUUUAAACUUGUGAGAUACCCAGAGCACACUUCACAAGAUGCAGAUUCAGUAGGUCUGAUAUGAGUGCUAGAUAUCUCUAUUUUUUAACUGAC